rnacentral:rRNA from 1 species
UACGGAGGAUCCGAGCGUUAUCCGGAUUUAUUGGGUUUAAAGGGUGCGUAGGCGGGAAUUUAAGUCAGUGGUGAAAGUUUAGGGCUCAACCUUAAAAUUGCCGUUGAAACUGGAUUUCUUGAGUACGGUAGAGGUAGGCGGAAUUUGUGGUGUAGCGGUGAAAUGCUUAGAUAUCACGAAGAACUCCGAUUGCGAAGGCAGCUUACCGGACCGUAACUGACGCUGAGGCACGAAAGUGUGGGGAUCAAACAGG